UACGUAGGGGGCAAGCGUUAUCCGGAAUCACUGGGCGUAAAGGGUGCGUAGGUGGUUCAACAAGUCAGAAGUGAAAGGCAUUGGCUCAACCAAUGUAAGCUUUUGAAACUGUUGAACUUGAGUGCAGGAGAGGAAAGUGGAAUUCCUAGUGUAGAGGUGAAAUUCGUAGAUAUUAGGAGGAACACCAGUGGCGAAGGCGACUUUCUGGACUGUAACUGACACUGAGGCACGAAAGCGUGGGGAGCGAACAGG
rnacentral:rRNA from 1 species